UCGUAACAAGGUUUCCGUAGGUGAACCUGCGGAAGGAUCAUUACUGAUUUGCUUAAUUGCACCACAUGUGUUUUUCUUUGAAACAAACUUGCUUUGGCGGUGGGCCCAGCCUGCCGCCAGAGGUCUAAACUUACAACCAAUUUUUUAUCAACUUGUCACACCAGAUUAUUACUAAUAGUCAAAACUUUCAACAACGGAUCUCUUGGUUCUCGCAUCGAUGAAGAACGCAGCGAAAUGCGAUACGUAAUAUGAAUUGCAGAUAUUCGUGAAUCAUCGAAUCUUUGAACGCACAUUGCGCCCUCUGGUAUUCCGGAGGGCAUGCCUGUUUGAGCGUCGUUUCUCCCUCAAACCGCUGGGUUUGGUGUUGAGCAAUACGACUUGGGUUUGCUUGAAAGACGGUAGUGGUAAGGCGGGAUCGCUUUGACAAUGGCUUAGGUCUAACCAAAAACAUUGCUUGCGGCGGUAACGUCUACCACGUAUAUCUUCAAACUUUGACCUCAAAUCAGGUAGGACUACCCGCUGAACUUAAGCAUAUC
rnacentral:misc_RNA from 1 species